rnacentral:rRNA from 1 species
AGUGAACGCUGGCGGUAGGCCUAACACAUGCAAGUCGAACGGCAGCACAGUAAGAGCUUGCUCUUACGGGUGGCGAGUGGCGGACGGGUGAGGAAUACAUCGGAAUCUACUUUUUCGUGGGGGAUAACGUAGGGAAACUUACGCUAAUACCGCAUACGACCUACGGGUGAAAGCAGGGGAUCUUCUGACCUUGCGCGAUUGAAUGAGCCGAUGUCGGAUUAGCUAGUUGGCGGGGUAAAGGCCCACCAAGGCGACGAUCCGUAGCUGGUCUGAGAGGAUGAUCAGACACACUGGAACUGAGACACGGUCCAGACUCCUACGGGAGGCAGCAGUGGGGAAUAUUGGACAAUGGGCGCAAGCCUGAUCCAGCCAUACCGCGUGGGUGAAGAAGGCCUUCGGGUUGUAAAGCCCUUUUGUUGGGAAAGAAAAGCAGCAGGUUAAUACCCCGCUGUUCUGACGGUACCCAAAGAAUAAGCACCGGCUAACUUCGUG